AGCUGAGUUCAAGAGCAGUCGACGAGAGAAGUUGUUGUGAGGGCGUUUUUUGACUAAAAAUCUUUCUUUUAUUCCUCAAAUAUGGAUCUUUAAGGGCUCAUACAGCAUCCUAAAGUGUGCUUCGAUUUCUUGGUCAAGAUUAUUCGCUCCCCGCUUUUUGCUCGGCGAUAGCAAAUCGACAUCUUCUUGCUUAGUAAAGCAAGUUUUUGCUUUUAAUCUGGAUCUCUUCCCUUUCGUCACAACCUGGAUUUGUUUUGCUGUAUCACUGAAAGAUGGACUACUUGGCUGUUUCGAACCAGGCCGGGCAUCAAAUCCGUUUUUAGAUUAAUGUCCUGGGAGCAGCACAAAUAUUCUUAAUUUAAGUUGCUUAGGCCCAGGGCAAACGUCGGACUAACGUCACACUGAACCUAUUUAACAUAGGUUCAGUGGCUUUACGAUUAUUUCGCCUACGCACUGGUUCGCCUACUGAAGUUCGUCUACGUAUCUAUGUAUCUAUGAAGGGUGAGACAAUAAAUAUACUGUAAAAAAAGGAAAAAAAUAGUUCUCGUGUAAAGAAUAAAACUUUUAUAUGAAUAGCAAGGCAAACAAAGAGAAACACUGAAAACUUUAGACGCGAACGAGUAACUGGCAAGCCUUGUGUGACAACACCGUAAAUCAAGAAAAGUUGUGAAACCUAUCUUAAGGCAGUGUGACACAUAAAAUAUAUAAAAAGGUAAAACAAAGUGACUGCUGUUGAGUAAAGUAAGAGAAAUGUUACGAAUGAGUCAAGAACUUCCGAGAUGGGAACGAGCUGUGAACGAUCGUUGUGACAACAAAAGCCUAACGACUUGUCAAGUGAAAGCCGUAAACUAUCAGAUGUCAUGAAAAAAUCUUUGCUUACUUACCAAUAUCUUUAUUAAAAACGCAUCUUUUAUCGCUAAGAACUAUUUUUAUAAGUAUGAAGGUGAUUAAAGAAAGAGAAACGUUA